rnacentral:lncRNA from 1 species
CUCAAAAAAAUUUUAUGCAUAGUACAACAAACUCCAGUGAGUUCAAAGAUAGAAAAAUCUAUUCAAUUGCAUUCUCUUGCAACUCUCAAUAUAACAUAUUUUUAAAAUAUUUAUAGUCUUGUGGAUAGCAUAACAAACUAUAAUAUUUUAGUUAAGUCAGAUCCUUUAUUUUCAUACAACCAUAUUUGAAAAUAAUAUUGCUCUUGUGGAUAGCAGAACAAAGCAAAAAAAAUUAAAUAUGCCAUAAGCAUUCUUAAUGCACCAAGAUAUUAUCAUAUUAGUCCUCAUGGUAAGCCUUGUGGAUAGCACAAUAAAUUUACUAUGGUUCUUGAAAUAAUAAUGAUCUUAGCAAG